CUACGGGAUGCACCAGUGGGGAAUAUUGCACAAUGGGCGCAAGCCUGAUGCAGCCAUGCCGCGUGUAUGAAGAAGGCCUUCGGGUUGUAAAGUACUUUCAGCGGGGAGGAAGGGAGUAAAGUUAAUACCUUUGCUAAUUGACGUUACCCGCAGAAGAAGCACCGGCUAACUCCGUGCCAGCAGCCGCGGUAAUACGGAGGGUGCAAGCGUUAAUCGGAAUGACUGGGCGUAAAGCGCACGCAGGCGGUUUGUUAAGUCAGAUGUGAAAUCCCCGGGCUCAACCUGGGAACUGCAUCUGAUACUGGCAAGCUUGAGUCUCGUAGAGGGGGGUAGAAUUCCAGGUGUAGCGGUGAAAUGCGUAGAGAUCUGGAGGAAUACCGGUGGCGAAGGCGGCCCCCUGGACGAAGACUGACGCUCAGGUGCGAAAGCGUGGGGAGCAAACAGGAUUAGAUACCCCGGUAGUC
rnacentral:rRNA from 1 species